rnacentral:rRNA from 1 species
UGGAAACAGAUGCUAAUACCGGAUAACAACAGAUGAUGCCUAUCAACUGUUUAAAAGAUGGUUCUGCUAUCACUCUUGGAUGGACCUGCGGUGCAUUAGCUAGUUGGUAGGGUAACGGCCUACCAAGGCGAUGAUGCAUAGCCGAGUUGAGAGACUGAUCGGCCACAUUGGGACUGAGACACGGCCCAAACUCCUACGGGAGGCAGCAGUC